rnacentral:rRNA from 1 species
UACGAAGGGUGCAAGCGUUACUCGGAAUUACUGGGCGUAAAGCGUGCGUUAGGUGGUUGUUAAGUCUGUUGUGAAAGCCCCGGGCUCAACCUGGGAAUGGCAAUGGAUAUUGGCAAGCUAGAGUGCGGUAGAGGGUAGUGGAAUUCCCGGUGUAGCGGUGAAAUGCGUAGAGAUCGGGAGGAACACCAGGUGGCGAAGGCGGCUACCUGGACCAGCACUGACCACUGAGGCACGAAAGCGUGGGGAGCAAACAGG